UUUAGUGGACAUUUCAUAAUUUAUUUAGUCCUCUAUUGAUGCACAUUUAGUAGUUUCCACUUUUCCAUAAUGAAAAAGCUGCAGUGAAAUAGCCUCGUACACAUGCUUUGCUCACAUACGCAAAUGUUUUGCCUUGAUACAUAUAAUUUAACUGGGUUAAAAGAUAUGCAUAUUUACUAAGACAUUGCUGUUUGUCUUUCAAGAAAUCUGAUAACUCACUCUCCCACCUACAGUGGGUGAGAGCACCCCACAUUCUUGACAACCCUGGGUCAAUGAACAUUUUUAACCUUUGCUAAUCUGAUGGGUGAAAAGUAAAUCUUAUAAGCAUGUUUCCUAUAGUUGUUGACCAUGUGUAUUUAUUUUUUCUUUGAACAUCCUGCUAAUAACAUUCUUUGCCCAUUUUUUCUUUGGGGUUGUUCAUCUUUUGAUGAACAAAAAUAUCAAAAUUAUAUAUAAUUUUAAAAAUGUUUUCUACUAAGGAAAUCAUUCCUUUGAUACAUGUGUUAUUUGAUUUUGUUUUGAUAUCUUUUUGCCAUUCAUAAGUUUUCAGCUGUAUGUGUUCAGUUCUAUGGGGAUUUUUUCCUUCUUAAAAUUACUCACUGCAGAAUUAUAAACAGAAACUCAGAAGACAAUGGAACCUUUGCAGUUACAGGUCCAUUUUGCGUCUCUCAUCUUUCCUGACCUUGGACUUGCCGCCUGCCCUUCCCUGAAUCUUCUCUUCAUGAGACCCACAGAAUGUUCUGGAAUCGUCUACCAGCUUCCUCAUUCUGCCUUUUUAGGAAACGCAACAUUCUUCUAAAUGCUUUUCAGCCUUCUAAAACUCAUCCCCCUAUUUGAUAACCAGGAAAAUCUCCUGUUCCUCCAAGGUUUUGAAGGGAUGUAAAAGUGUAAAACAGCAAGUUCAGGGAAUGAAAGGAAACAGACAAGGAAAGGAUAUGAGGAUUGCCCAGCAGUCUUGAGUGUCCACUUUAGGCUUGUGGUCCUGAACUGAAGAACAGACGUGGGUUUUCUGCAGCAAUUUCCAGCUGUUCAGACACAGACACGUGUAGAGUUGC
rnacentral:lncRNA from 1 species